UCCUACGGGAGGCAGCAGUGGGGAAUAUUGCACAAUGGGGGGAACCCUGAUGCAGCGACGCCGCGUGGGUGAAGGAGUAUUUCGGUAUGUAAAGCCCUAUCAGCAGGGAAGAACAAUGACGGUACCUGACUAAGAAGCACCGGCUAAAUACGUGCCAGCAGCCGCGGUAAUACGUAUGGUGCAAGCGUUAUCCGGAAUUACUGGGUGUAAAGGGAGCGUAGACGGUUAAGUAAGUCUGGAGUGAAAGGCCGGGGCCCAACCCCGGGACUGCUCUGGAACCUAUUGAACUUGAGUGCAGGAGAGGG
rnacentral:rRNA from 1 species